UCUAAACGACUCUCGGCAACGGAUAUCUCGGCUCUCGCAUCGAUGAAGAACGUAGCGAAAUGCGAUACUUGGUGUGAAUUGCAGAAUCCCGUGAACCAUCGAGUCUUUGAACGCAAGUUGCGCCCGAAGCUUUCUGGCCGAGGGCACGCCUGCCUGGGCGUCAC
rnacentral:rRNA from 1 species